rnacentral:rRNA from 1 species
GAUGAACGCUAGCUACAGGCUUAACACAUGCAAGUCGAGGGGUAACGAGAGGGAAGCUUGCUUUCCUUGUCGACGACCGUCGCACGGGUGAGUAACGCGUAUCCAACCUGCCCCCAACUAGGGAAUAACCUUGCGAAAGUAAGACUAAUACCCUAUAAUUUCCUCAGAUGUCAUCUGACGAGGAAUAAAGAUUUAUCGGUUGUGGAUGGGGAUGCGUCUGAUUAGCUUGUUGGCGGGGUAACGGCCCACCAAGGCAACGAUCAGUAGGGGUUCUGAGGGGAAGGUCCCCCACAUUGGAACUGAGACACGGUCCAAACUCCUACGGGAGGCAGCAGUGAGGAAUAUUGGUCAAUGGGCGGAAGCCUGAACCAGCCAAGUAGCGUGCAGGGUGACGGCCCUAUGGGUUGUAAACUGCUUUUAUACAGGAAUAAAGUUAGCCACGUGUGGUUAUUUGUAGGUACUGUAUGAAUAAGGACCGGCUAAUUCCGUGCCAGCCGCCGCCGUAA